AAGGAAUAUUGGUCAAUGGGCGCAAGCCUGAACCAGCCAUGCCGAGUGCAGGAAGACGGCCCUAUGGGUUGUAAACUGCUUUUGUACGGAACGAAAAGCCUCUCUCUAAUACAGGGGGGUGAUGACGGUACCGUAAGAAUAAGCACCGGCUAACUACGUGCCAGCAGCCGCGGUAAUACGUAGGGUGCAAGCGUUAAUCGGAAUUACUGGGCGUAAAGCGUGCGUAGGCGGUUUUGUAAGACAGUGGUGAAAUCCCCGGGCUCAACCUGGGAACUGCCAUUGUGACUGCAAGGCUGGAGUGCGGCAGAGGGGGAUGGAAUUCCGCGUGUAGCAGUGAAAUGCGUAGAUAUGCGGAGGAACACCGAUGGCGAAGGCAAUCCCCUGGGCCUGCACUGACGCUCAUGCACGAAAGCGUGGGGAGCAAACA
rnacentral:rRNA from 1 species